rnacentral:rRNA from 1 species
UACGUAGGGACCGAGCGUUGUCCGGAAUCAUUGGGCGUAAAGAGCGUGUAGGCGGCCCCUUAAGUCCUGCGUGAAAUCCUGCGGCUCAACCGCAGACGGUCGUGGGAAACUGGAGGGCUAGAGUGCGGGAGAGGAGAGUGGAAUUCCCGGUGUAGCGGUGAAAUGCGUAGAUAUUGGGAGGAACACCAGUGGCGAAGGCGGCUCACUGGACCGGUACUGACGCUGAAGCGCGAAAGCGUGGGGAGCAAACGGG